GACGAACCGAGCGAACGUUGUUCGGAAUUACUGGGCGUAAAGGGCGCGUAGGCGGUUUGCUAAGUUGAAUGUGAAAACUCUGGGCUUAACCCAGAGCCUGCAUUCAAUACUGGCAGGCUAGAGUUCUGGAGGGGAUAGCGGAAUUCCUGGUGUAGCGGUGAAAUGCGUAGAUAUCAGGAGGAACACCGGUGGCGAAGGCGGCUAUCUGGACAGAGUCUGACGCUGAGGCGCGAAAGCUAGGGGAGCAAACAGG
rnacentral:rRNA from 1 species